rnacentral:rRNA from 1 species
ACGAACGCUGGCGGCAGGCCUAACACAUGCAAGUCGAGCGGGGGAGCAAUCCCUAGCGGCGGACGGGUUAGUAACGCGUGGGAAUAUACCCAAAGGUACGGAAUAGCCUCGGGAAACUGAGAGUAAUACCGUAUGUGCCCUACGGGGGAAAGAUUUAUCGCCUUUGGAUUAGCCCGCGUUGGAUUAGGUAGUUGGUGGGGUAAUGGCCUACCAAGCCUACGAUCCAUAGCUGGUUUGAGAGGAUGAUCAGCAACACUGGGACUGAGACACGGCCCAGACUCCUACGGGAGGCAGCAGUGGGGAAUCUUAGACAAUGGGGGAAACCCUGAUCUAGCCAUGCCGCGUGGACGAUGAAGGCCUUAGGGUUGUAAAGUCCUUUCAGAUGGGAAGAUAAUGACGGUACCAUCAGAAGAAGCCCCGGCUAACUCCGU